CGAGAAGACGCGUCACGGCUCCAUUGAAGAAAAAAGGUGCGGAGGAGCAAAUCGGCGACAGUCAACUCGGCUGCCGUGGUCGAGGGAGCGCGAGAGGGAAAUGCAGAAUAGUCAGAGUCAGUCGGUCAUGCAUGACAGCAGAGGAAACUACGAGCCAGACUUGGAGCUGGUGCACCGCACGCCGUCUAGUUUCCUGCACCUUCGGGGUCACUGGCGCUUCCUGUGAUCAAUCAAAUCAGAUUCCAUUUGAGGCUGAGGUGCAAAGACAGGCGUCGUGCUGCUGGAGAAGGAGCCGACCGGAAGAAGACCUCCGCGCUGUGGGAUAGAAACGGACCCCGUAACCAGCUGGAGCGAAGAAUCACAGCUGCAUUAUGGGUUCCGUUACAAUCCCACCCGCCCAAAACACCAGCGCCGGGUCCAAACAGGUGUCCGGGCCCAAAGGACAGAAGAUGUCAACGUUUCAGGAGUCCACCUCGGCUUCUUGGAGCGGUGUUAUCUCUGGUCGCCCGUCUGGAAAAACCAGUUGUUUAUCGUGUGCCGAGUGACGAGAGGGAGGAAGAAAGCAGGAACAGGAGGUGAGCCGGACGAGCGCUGAUGGAGCGAUAAAAGGACGGAGACGUUGAGGAGGACGUUUCCGUCGCGGGAUUGAUUCUUCCUUCAGGAAAUUAAAAAAAAGCUCUACGAUUUCCUCUGGUCCUCACAUCUGAAAGACAACGACUAAUAAACAACUCAACACACUGAGGUCAAAGAAUGUAAAAAAAAAAAAGAAUAGAGUCACUUUCAGUUUGUCGCCUAUUGGCUUCCUCGCUCCCUUGACAAGGACACUUGACGCCUCAGUCCAACGAGGAGAGCAGCCGUUGGACAGACGACGACAGUCUUAGAAGCCGUGGAAAGAGAUUUACUGAGAAGAAUGUGAGGACAAAGUUUAAGAAGUCAAAGCGGGACAGAGGUGGAAGCAGGACAUUUCACCUUAAAGCCAGCGGAGUGACAUGAAGACAUGAAGGGAGGAAGACACGAGUGUAAAGUACUAUUAAGAAUAGUAAGUGAAUGUCCUCCGGCUCACCGACGUCUCGCAGCAGAUCGUCGUCUCCUGUUGUCCCGCCUGCCAACUUCUCUCAGAGCUCAGACUUCCUCUUUAAAUACUGGAGAGGUUCAUUUCACUUUCACUUCUCCUGCUCUCGCGGAAGCUCCUCCUUUCCUUUCUGUGUCCACUCCCCCCGGUGUCCCCGUCCCCCACAGGGACAACCGGCCUCGCGCUCGGAAGGUCCACCGCCAGCUUAACAAGUCAGCUGUGUGAAAAUUGGAGUCGUAACUUGCCUCGAGGUGUGUGAAUCAGCAUGGGACAUGAUGGACGACGUGAGACAGGUGGGACCAGCGGAGUGUGACCAGGUGACACCCAGCAGUCUGUCUGGGCUUCACCCUGGAAAGUCCGGGGGAUUCUGUGGACCAUCUGAUCCGCCCUGGAGACCUGCAGCGGGAGGAGGCGAGGUGGGUGGAGCGGAGGCGGCUGCUUGUUCUCGGAUGGAGGAAGGCCGGGCUCCUCCGCCUCGCGUUGAACCUCAGUGUAGCUCAGUAAUCAACAGAUCAGUUAUUAUGUGAUCUGAUGCGUUUAUUUGGUGUCUCUCUCUCUCUCUGUAUGAAGUUCUCUGGGCCGCUAUUAAGUUUUAGUUCUUUUGAGCUGCAGCCGUAUGAAGAUGAAGAAUAAAAAGAAAUGUGGAGCUUCUAUAUUGUGACAUUUGUGCGGACUUGG
ensembl:lncRNA